GUUGGUGUCACCACAACACUGGUGACAUCACAGAAGAUUCUAGGGUUCUCCUGGAUACAAGAGAAUUUCCAGGGAAGACACUACCGAUGAUGUCACAGGGAAAUGCCAUAGCUUACUUGCUAACUCCCUCUACCCAGACUGACCAGUUUCUGCACUGCCUUUUCCAGAGACUCACUUUUGAGCCAGGGAACAUCCAUUCGCACACUCUUUUUCCAGAGCUUCACGGUUCUUCACGAAAUUGGUUCACUACUUCAUUACAACUCAGUUGCUGAGGAUAGGGAGAGUUGGUUAAAGCCUAGGUAGAAAAAUAGCCACUGGAGAGACAUGCUUUAACACUUAAACUGCACUCCUGUCUUCCACACUCCACCCGUGCUGAUGGGGAGGAGAGACAGCAAAAUCAAGAAGAGCUGCCAUUGGUAACAAUGAGUGGCCCUUCCCCAUGAAUGUCCAUCCCUUUCCUGGUGUGGUUUAGACACUGGCCGGAGCAGAGCACAAGAGCCCUGAAAGUAUUAGGAGUACACGCCAUCGGGAACUACAGGGAUCUCUUGUGGGCAAAACCAGCAAGCUGGAGUACAAAAGUGAGCAGAGCAAGUGACCAACCAGAACACAAUGGAGAAGGACAGACAAACUGCCACAAAAGAAAACAGGAAAAAACCACCAACAAAAUCCUUAGCUGCUUACCCUCCAAAGGCCAUGCUGUAAGGAGGGCAAAGUACUACACUGGGAAGCACAUGGCAGAAAGAAAGACAUGGAUACAGGAAUCACAGACCCCUGGAGUUUUGGAUGCUCCAAGAGAAAAUAUAAAGCAAAAAAACAAAA